UGCAGUCGAACGAGAGUUUUUAACUCUAGUGGCGAACGGGUGCGUAAUACGUGAGAAUCUGCCCUUAGGAGAAGAAUAACUACUGGAAACGGUAGCUAAGUCUUCAUAUGCCGAGAGGUGAAAUAGUUUCAACUGCCUAAGGAUGAGCUCACGCCUGAUUAGCUUGUUGGUGAGGUAACGGCUUACCAAGGCCACGAUCAGUAGCUGGUUUGAGAGAACGAUCAGCCACACUGGGACUGAGACACGGCCCAGACUCCUCCGGGAGGCAGCAGUGAGGAAUUUUCCGCAAUGGGCGAAAGCCUGACGGAGCAAUACCGCGUGAGGGAUGAAGGAUUUUGGUCUGUAAACCUCUUUUCUCAAGAAAGAAGUUCUGACGGUACUUGAGGAAUAAGCAUCGGCUAACUCCGUGCCAGCAGCCGCGGUAAUACGGGGGAUGCAAGCGUUAUCCGGAAUCAUUGGGCGUAAAGCGCCUGUAGGUUGUUUAGUAAGUCUGUUGUUAAAGACCAGGGCUUAACCCUGGGAAAGCAAUGGAAACUACUAGACUUGAGUAUGGCAGGGGUAGAGGGAAUUUCUAGUGUAGCGGUGAAAUGCGUAGAUAUUAGAAAGAACACCGGCGGCGAAAGCGCUCUACUGGACCAUUACUGACACUCAGAGGCGAAAGCUAGGGGAGCAAAAGGGAUUAGAUACCCCUGUAGUCCUAGCCGUAAACGAUGGAUACUAGAUGUUGCGCAAUUUGUGCAGUAUCUUAGCUAACGCGUUAAGUAUCCGCCUGGGGAGUACGCUCGCAAGGGUGAAACUCAAAGGAAUUGACGGGGGCCCGCACAAGCGGUGGAGCAUGUGGUUUAAUUCGAUGCAACGCGAAGAACCUUACCAGGGCUUGACAUACUACAAAUCUUUUCGAAACGAAAGAGUGCCUUCGGGAAUGUAGAUACAGGUGGUGCAUGGCUGUCGUCAGCUC
rnacentral:rRNA from 1 species